AGAGAGGACACUUGGGGGUGAUAGCUGCUAUCAACACUAAGUAGAAAAUCUUCCAGGUCUGAGAAGAUAGAAAGUUGCCUCCAUGGAGGCUUUGUACAGAGUCACAAGGAUGCCAAGAACCAGGAAUGAAGGAUGAACAACAAUAGAACAGCUCUUGAUUGAUGUAAGUCUGAAUGGAGAGAAGAGGAGAGAUGAAAGAGACAUUGAGGUAAUAUUAAUAAGAUUGGAACUUUUUGGAUGUGGACAAUAAAGGAGAAAAAUAAAAACGAUCUUCAAACUGA